rfam:Salmo salar isolate Sally breed double haploid chromosome ssa01, whole genome shotgun sequence.
UAGCUCAGUUGGUAGAGCAUGGUGUUUGCAACACCAGCAUGUGGGUUCGAUUCCCAC